rnacentral:rRNA from 1 species
ACACUCCUGCGGGAGGCAGCAGUGGGGAAUUUUGGACAAUGGGGGCAACCCUGAUCCAGCAAUGCCGCGUGAGUGAAGAAGGCCUUCGGGUUGUAAAGCUCUUUUGUCAGGGAAGAAACGGUGGUGGCGAAUAACUACUACUAAUGACGGUACCUGAAGAAUAAGCACCGGCUAACUACGUGCCAGCAGCCGCGGUAAUACGUAGGGUGCAAGCGUUAAUCGGAAUUACUGGGCGUAAAGCGUGCGCAGGCGGUUGUGUAAGUCAGAUGUGAAAUCCCCGGGCUCAACCUGGGAAUUGCAUUUGAGACUGCACGGCUAGAGUGUGUCAGAGGGGGGUAGAAUUCCACGUGUAGCAGUGAAAUGCGUAGAUAUGUGGAGGAAUACCGAUGGCGAAGGCAGCCCCCUGGGAUAACACUGACGCUCAUGCACGAAAGCGUGGGGAGCAAACAGGAUUAGAAACCCCGGUAGUCCCA